rnacentral:rRNA from 1 species
UACGUAGGGGGGCAAGCGUUGUCCGGAAUCAUUGGGCGUAAAGCGCGUGUAGGCGGUUCGGUAAGUCUGCUGUGAAAGUCCAGGGCUCAACCCUGGGAUGCGGGUGGAUACUGCCGGGCUAGAAUCCGGAAGAGGCGAGUGGAAUUCCCGGUGUAGCGGUGAAAUGCGCAGAUAUCGGGAGGAACACCAGUAGCGAAGGCGGCUCGCUGGGCCACACCUGACGCUGAGACGCGAAAGCUAGGGGAGCGAACAGG